ACAUGCAAGUCGAACGGAAGUCGUUAUAAAAGGAGAGAAGAUUUAUCGGAUUGAAUUUUAUAACAAUGGCUUUAGUGGCGGACUGGUGAGUAACGCGUAAGGAACCUACCUAUUAGAGGGGAACAACAAUGAGAAAUCAUUGCUAAUACCGCAUAUGCCAUAACUACCGCAUGGUAGAAGUGGGAAAGGAGUAAUUCGCUGAUAGAUGGCCUUGCGUCUGAUUAGUUAGUUGGUGGGGUAACGGCCUACCAAGACGACGAUCAGUAGCCGGACUGAGAGGUUGAACGGCCACAUUGGGACCGAGAUACGGCCCAGACUCCUACGGGAGGCAGCAGUCGGGAAUAUUGCGCAAUGGAGGAAACUCUGACGCAGUGACGCCGCGUGCAGGAAGAAGGUUUUCGGAUUGUAAACUGCUUUAGACAGGGAAGAGAAAGGACAGUACCUGUAGAAUAAGCUCCGGCUAACUACGUGCCAGCAGCCGCGGUAAUACGUAGGGAGCGAGCGUUAUCCGGAUUUAUUGGGUGUAAAGGGUGCGUAGACGGGAAUACAAGUUAGUUGUGAAAUACCUCGGCUUAACUGAGGAACUGCAACUAAAACUAUAUUUCUUGAGUACAGGAGAGGUAAGUGGAAUUCCUAGUGUAGCGGUGAAAUGCGUAGAUAUUAGGAGGAACACCAGUGGCGAAGGCGACUUACUGGACUGAAACUGACGUUGAGGCACGAAAGUGUGGGGAGCAAACAGGAUUAGAUACCCUGGUAGUCCACACCGUAAACGAUGGAUACUAGGUGUAGGAGAUAUUAAGUCUUCUGUGCCGUCGCAA
rnacentral:rRNA from 1 species